rnacentral:lncRNA from 1 species
UUGCUGGCUGUUGAUCAAGGACUGCCCUCAGUUUCCUGCUGCAGAAGCCUCUUUGUAAAGCAGCUAUGGCAGGAAGAGUCACCCUCAGAGCCGGCGAGAGAGAGAGGGGUCCAGCCCACACCCAAGGGAAGGAGAUUCCGCAAGGGCAUGGAUACCAGGAGGUAAGGACCAUUGGGGCCAUGCGGGAGGCUGCUGCCUCGUCUCUACUGGUUAGGGGAGUGUACACAUGCUGGCAAGAGAGACAUGGGAUUUUGGUUUUGCAGGUGCUUUUUUUUUUU